ACCAAACCAGCCACAUGUAGAGUUCUACAUGGAGGAGAACCAAAGCCCCAGCCAACAGAUCAAACUGAGUUUAUAGCCAGCACCAUCUCUGCUGUUAGGUAAGUGAGAACAUUUUAGACUUUUAAGCUCCCCCAGCACUUCAGAUCAUAUCAUAUUAAGCAGAGGAUUACCUAUUCAACUGACACAGUUGUGAAAAAUAAUAAAUUGUUUCUGUUUUAAGGCACGAAGUUCUACGAUCAUAAGUCAGUUACAAACAACUGACUUUUUUUUUUUUAAAAAAAAACAACUCAUACCUAGAAGU
rnacentral:lncRNA from 1 species